AUCGUUCAACCUCUUUUAAGAAGAGGUCGGAAGUAGGUUUUUACCGAAGGAACGCGGA
rnacentral:ncRNA from 10 species